UAGGGAAUCUUCCGCAAUGGACGCAAGUCUGACGGAGCAACGCCGCGUGAGUGAAGAAGGAUUUCGGUUCGUAAAACUCUGUUGUUAGAGAAGAACAGCGCAUAGAGUAACUGUUAUGCGUGUGACGGUAUCUAACCAGAAAGCCACGGCUAACUACGUGCCAGCAGCCGCGGUAAUACGUAGGUGGCAAGCGUUGUCCGGAUUUAUUGGGCGUAAAGCGAGCGCAGGCGGUUAGAUAAGUCUGAAGUUAAAGGCAGUGGCUCAACCAUCGUAGGCUUUGGAAACUGUUUAACUUGAGUGCAGAAGGGGAGAGUGGAAUUCCAUGUGUAGCGGUGAAAUGCGUAGAUAUAUGGAGGAACACCGGUGGCGAAAGCGGCUCUCUGGUCUGUAACUGACGCUGAGGCUCGAAAGCGUGGGGAGCGAACAGG
rnacentral:rRNA from 1 species